ensembl:lncRNA
GGUAAAACUGCUGGGCUCAGAUUGCUGGGGGGGGGGGGACCCGACUGUGAAAGGAUUGAAGCGUUUAACAUAACACGCCGUUUUCAGAACAGACGUUGGAAGGCAAAUAGUGUCUCACGGGGCAACAGUAGCAGACCUGUGAGUGAACCAUCGAGGUGACCUCACCGUUCCUACGACCCGUUCCGCAGCGCCUCUCUAGGUAACGUCUGAGGUCCCUUUAUUUCAAUAACAAGUAGAGCGAGGGAUCAGGAUUCAAGUCAAACGCAGUUGCUGAAAUUUCAAUAGAGGACGCUGCAGUGCGGCGUGUGGUACCCGUUGAUAAGUCAGCGUUGGCUGUUUCUGGUGCACUGAUAAAUGAAAUGUCACAGUUUCUGAGACAUGUUUUUCAAGGGGGUCGUGUUCCCGAAACCAAAUCACGUCCACAGAGUUUGAGAAAGAAUUCAGUGUUGGCAUUACGAGUGUCAAACCUGCCGUGUUCACAGCUUCUCCACUGCAGACAUUCUGGAUGCACUGAAGGGAAUUUGACAGGAGCUGAGGCGUCGAAGCUAAAACGACACCGAGGAAAAGCCAUAUUCUUCU